rnacentral:lncRNA from 1 species
CAGGACAGUUGUCUUUUUCAUGUACACUUCUGUGCUCCUCCUGAGAGAGGGGCUUAGAACUAGACCGUCUCAUGGUCCAUCCCCCACAAUUUCUGUUUUUUUUUUUUUUUGGUUUGUUUGAAUGUUUGCCUGCCUGGGAGCUGCCAGCCGCGCCCAUCCAAAUCUGCAAAUCUUCCUCUAGACUUUGGGAGAUAGAAAAGUAGCUCCUACUUCAAGAAGAGUGCUCCACGGUGCUCUCCAGCACCCUGUGAAGAAAAGCCUGUGAUGGGAUUGCAGUUCGUUCUGUCUUGCUAUGAUUGCUUGUCUGUUCCUGUGGCUUCUAGUGGCUCUUUUCCUUGCUGCAGUAAGAAGUUUCCUUUUUUGCUACUUCAACUUGCUAUUUCUUAAAAAAUAAAUAAAUAGAGGUCAUCCUUUACUUCUACAAGCAAGAAAUAGAGGAGAGAGAGCUCAGGAGAUUGAGAAAUAGAGAAUUUC